GACGAACGCUGGCGGCGUGCUUAACACAUGCAAGUCGAACGCUGAAGCUCAGCUUUUGUUGGGUGGAUGAGUGGCGAACGGGUGAGUAACACGUGAGUAACCUGCCCCCUUCUUUGGGAUAACGCCCGGAAACGGGUGCUAAUACUGGAUAUUCACUGGUCUUCGCAUGGGGGUUGGUGGAAAGGGUUUUUCUGGUGGGGGAUGGGCUCGCGGCCUAUCAGCUUGUUGGUGGGGUGAUGGCCUACCAAGGCUUUGACGGGUAGCCGGCCUGAGAGGGUGACCGGUCACAGUGGGACUGAGAUACGGCCCAGACUCCUACGGGAGGCAGCAGUGGGGAAUAUUGCACAAUGGGCGCAAGCCUGAUGCAGCGACGCCGCGUGAGGGAUGGAGGCCUUCGGGUUGUGAACCUCUUUCGCUAAUGGUCAAGCCGCAACAAUGGUUGUGGUGAGGGUAGUGGGUAAAGAAGCGCCGGCUAACUACGUG
rnacentral:rRNA from 1 species